rnacentral:ncRNA from 1 species
AUCUUUGCAAAAAAUUUUGGUUUCCAAUCAUUUGGAAUGAAAAGGGAAUCGGGUGUAAAUCCCGGACUGUCCCCGCAACUGUAGAUCGCAAACAAAGUUUCUACGACAAACCACUGUGCAAACGGGAAGGUGUAGGAAUGCGAAAGUCAGGAGACCUGCCAGAAUUGUAACUAAAUA